rnacentral:rRNA from 1 species
UACGUAGGGACCGAGCGUUGUCCGGAUUCAUUGGGCGUAAAGAGCUCGUAGGCGGCCACUCAAGUCGAAUGUGAAACCUCGAGGCUUAACCUCGAGCCUGCAUUCGAUACUGGGCGGCUAGAGUCUGGUAGGGGGAUCUGGAAUUCCUGGUGUAGGCGGUGGAAUGCGCAGAUAUCAGGAGGAACACCGGUGGCGAAGGCGGGAUCCUGGGCCAGUACUGACGCUGAGGAGCGAAAGCGUGGGGAGCAAACAGG